GUCGUUAAUGAGCAGGUAGGGGUUAGACAGUACAGAGACAGGUCAUUAAGGAGCAGGUAGGGGUUAGACAGUACAGAGACAGGUCAUUAAGGAGCAGGUAGGGGUUUGACAGUAGAGAGAGAUCAUUAAGGGGCAGGUAGGGGUUAGACAGUACAGAGACAGGUCAUUAAGGAGCAGGUAGGGGUUAGACAGUACAGAGACAGGUCAUUAAGGAGCAGGUAGGGGUUAGACAGUACAGAGACAGGUCAUUAAGGAGCAGGUAGGGGUUAGACAGGACAGAGACAGGUCAUUAAGGAGCAGGUAGGGGUUAGACAGGACAGAGACAGGUCAUUAAGGGGCAGGUAGGGGUUAGACAGUACAGAGACAGGUCAUUACGGGGCAGGUAGGGGUUAGACAGUACAGAGACAG
ensembl:lncRNA